GCCCUGGGUUCGAUCCCCAGCACCUCCAUGCUUGUCUCUCCUGAUAUCUUACGGUUGAUGCUCCUCGGUUUCUAUAUGACUGCUUCUCAUCAAAGAAACCGCUGGGUGGCCGUGUGCUGAACCGCAACUGCCAACUGAAGAUUUCAUGAAGACAUCGAAGCAGGAAGCAUGCCACCCCAGAAGCUGCGUUCCCUUGUGCGCUCAUUUCUCAUUAUUAUUAAGACACCGGGAAAAUAAAGGCAGGAAGAAGAGAGAAAGUCUUUUGUAAAAUUCCUAUAGACUUUACCACCUCCCACGCCCCCCUGCUUUGCGACAAUGAGCAGACCAGAUGUAGAAGAAAAUCAUCCUCCUCCUGUCCCCAACUUUGCUUUCCCCACCCAUGCCACACAGAAUCUUGAUGCGUAUAAAAAGU